GACGAACCGUCCAAACGUUAUUCGGAAUUACUGGGCGUAAAGGGCUCGUAGGCGGCCAACUAAGUCAGACGUGAAAUCCCUCGGCUUAACCGGGGAACUGCGUCUGAUACUGGAUGGCUUGAAUCCGGGAGAGGGAUGCGGAAUUCCAGGUGUAGCGGUGAAAUGCGUAGAUAUCUGGAGGAACACCGGUGGCGAAGGCGGCAUCCUGGACCGGCAUUGACGCUGAGGAGCGAAAGCCAGGGGAGCAAACGGG
rnacentral:rRNA from 1 species